UAUGUAGGGUGCGAGCGUUGUCCGGAAUUAUUGGGCGUAAAGAGCUUGUAGGCGGUUUGUCGCGUCUGCUGUGAAAAUCCGGGGCUCAACCCCGGACUUGCAGUGGGUACGGGCAGACUAGAGUGUGGUAGGGGAGACUGGAAUUCCUGGUGUAGCGGUGAAAUGCGCAGAUAUCAGGAAGAACACCCGUGGCGAAGGCGGCUCUCUGGGACGGUACUGACGCUGAGACGCGAAAGCGUGGGGAGCGAACAGG
rnacentral:rRNA from 1 species